CAGGAUUUCCAUAACCUUUUCCAUAACAAUUAGCAUUCUCAAUUAUAAUUGUCAACUCCAAACAUUGAUCAACAAUCCAAACACCUACAUGGCCAUACAUCUGACUGGACUCAACCUAGCAAAACCUGAAUCAAUUAACGAUUCACUAGGUGUCUGUUAACUAUUGCAAUACCAGCUAUUUUUGAUUUUUUUUAUUUUAACAGAACUAUGAUUACACAGAGUCCAGUACAUAUUAUACCAAAAUCAAGUCUAAACGAACACAGGCUACAUUUCGAAAUGGCCCAGGCAUACAGUCCAUAAUUGAUUAGAGUGUACAGUUCACUAAGUCACAGGAUAUGUUUAUAACAUAAUAAGAUUUAACAGAAGAAGAAAACUACAGCAGAAACUUCGAUUUCAAUUCAUCAUUGGACAGGAGAGUCUACAUUGGGACAGUUCAAAUGUGUACCUAUAUUUCAAUAGAACAAAGAACAGAAAAAGUCAGCAGCAGCUUAGCACAGCAGGCCAAGGGAAUUCCAAUUAGAUCCAAAUGCGCAGCCCAGAAAAGUUCAAAAACCAACAGCAAUAGCAAGUGAUAAACAGCAAUCAAAGACAACCAAACUGAGGUAAUUUUGAUCGAAAUAAGCUUUAACCAACACUCAGGACACACUACCAAAGCAUCACAUCAACUGGUUGGCCUAAAAUGACUCAACUGAAGCUAAAAACCACCCGAAAUAGAACAAGCAGAUCUCUGAAGUUACAGUAACCAGAAAUUGAACUAAAAAUUUGUAAAUCAACAACUGUAAGCUGAAAUUCACCUACUACUUAAUGGGACAGUAGCCUUUUUCCUUGAUUUUUGAAGUUUUAUAUUGUUUUUGGGUUUUCUAUAUGAAAGAAGUUAAAAUCUAAAAGGAUUUUGAUCUGAAUUUUAAUCUCAGAUUUGGUGAGCUUGGGGAACUUUUGGAGGGAAUUCUCGAGGUUUUUUUGGAUGAAGUAAAGGGCAUGCCCUUUUAUAGGCACCAAUGUGGGAAACCCUCAGAUUUUUCAAUGUCAGUCCCUUACCUAUUUAUUUAAUUGGUCCCUUAUUUUCUAACUUGUUACCCAAGUAAACACUACUAUUCUUUACAAAUUACUUUGCAUCCCCCUAUCUAGAAGUUCCUAGGGGUUUCUAUAUUAUUGAAAUCCCUAAACUAACCCUAUACUAUACUGAUUUUUACAACUUAACUAAGCUUGACCUGAACAUUAAACUCUGCCUGAUAUUCUUAACUGAACCAAAGUUAUAAACUAAUGAAAGCAAUUAAUAAAAACUAAUCAAGCAUUUGCGAUUAACAACUAGCAAUCCUAACACUGAAUAUAUAAACCCAAAUAACAGAUAACGAAUAGGAAUCAACUGAUUUUAACUAAACACCGUCGAUAACUAAAAAGCAGAUAGGAUUCGGAAACAAUUAACUUAGCAAGAAAUGGAAAUUAACUUGUAAGCCUUCUUUAAUGGCAGAAUGGUCGGAAACCUUUGAUUUGAUAUUCGAGCUUUUCCAGACAGAUUCGAGAGACAAGGCCAUGAGGGUUGGGUAGAGGAGGCCCAGGCGGUCACAUGGUGUUAAUUUGGGGUUAUUUGGGGUAGGUCUCGUCGUGGCCGGAAAAUCUUCCGUCGAAGAUUCGAGGAGGUAGGGAAUGAUUUGAGAGAAACGAGUGGUAGAUUCAUGACGAGGGAGAAAAGGAGGUUUUGUGGUGUUAUUUUGGUAGUCGAUGACGUAAGUGGUGUUCGCCGGCGGUGGGCUUCCGGCGAAGUAACAGAGGGUACGAGGAAGAUGGACUAUGUUU
rnacentral:lncRNA from 1 species